GACGAACGCUGGCGGCGUGCCUAAUACAUGCAAGUCGAACGCACAGUUUAUACCGUAGCUUGCUACACCAUACACUGUGAGUUGCGAACGGGUGAGUAACGCGUAGGUAACCUGCCUGGUAGCGGGGGAUAACUAUUGGAAACGAUAGCUAAUACCGCAUAAUAUUGAUUAUUGCAUGAUAAUUGAUUGAAAGAUGCUAUUGCAUCACUACCAGAUGGACCUGCGUUGUAUUAGCUAGUAGGUGAGGUAACGGCUCACCUAGGCGACGAUACAUAGCCGACCUGAGAGGGUGAUCGGCCACACUGGGACUGAGACACGGCCCAGACUCCUACGGGAGGCAGCAGUAGGGAAUCUUCGGCAAUGGACGAAAGUCUGACCGAGCAACGCCGCGUGAGUGAAGAAGGUUUUCGGAUCGUAAAGCUCUGUUGUAAGAGAAGAACGGGUGUGAGAGUGGAAAGUUCACACUGUGACGGUAUCUUACCAGAAAGGGACGGCUAACUACGUG
rnacentral:rRNA from 1 species